CAUCAGCAUCUUAAAAAUGAAUUCUUUAUGAGACAAAGAACAAGCCACCCAAUUUCUGAAAUCACUGAAGUGGAAAGCUUGUCUCAGGACCAGAGAGACGUACAGAGAAAGCAAUAUGAUGCUUCCUCCUAAGAACCGGAGAGAAAUACAGCCAAAUCCCAGAAGAUAGCAUCCAGGAACUAAAGAAGCUACGCUGGGCAGAGGUCUUUAUUGGCCAGCCAAAACCACGCAACACUACUCAUGGGAUGGACUGGCAGGUUCACUUCCUGUCAUCAGGCUUUCCCUGGUGCCAUGGUGGACUAUAGCUCCUCAGACUGUGAGCCAAGACAAACGCUUCUUCCCACAAGUUGCUUCUCGUCAGGUAUUUUGUCACAGGAGUGAGUGUUCGUGGAGAGCAGUAAAUGGUUUUCUUCAAUCGGAGAUGCAUGUUCCUAAUUAGACUCAUUUAUUCUGCAAUAUUAAGAACAUGCAACUAGUGGAGACAACAGAAAGGAGCAGGGGCCAGCUGAAUGUCGAUGCUUUACUGAGUUAAUGGAGGUGGACACAUCCCAACUGGAUUUUCCCCAGAGAGCACAACUUCAUGGCCCCAUCCUGACAGCUGACAUCCUCUGAGCCCAAGGUUGAAGGUGAUGACUAAGCUCUGGAACCCAGCUCAUGAAGUGCUGCUAGCUACAUCUACGGCGGCCCUUCCCUCUUUCGUUAAACUAUUCUGGAAACACUCUCACAAACAAACCCAGAGCUGCGUUUUCUUGGUGUUUCUAAAUCCAGUCAAGUUGGCGAUAAAGACAAAACAUGACGUGCUGCGAGAGCCAGAAGAGACAGAGCACAGGAGACAAGUCCUAACACAUCAGAAGCUUCAAAACGCAGAGGUGGGCACAGCAGAGAGACCCAAUGCAGUUCCCAAGACACAGAGCAGACGUGAUUUAAAAUGAGUAAAUUGCAAACGCAGAGUGUGAGCCAUCUCUGUCUACCUAAGAUGAAACCAGACUAUGAAGCAACACAAAGAGCCAGAGAGGUUGAGUGGACAAAAGAGAUGACUUCAUCGCUCUGGCAGGACUUAUGGAACUCUUCUGGAAAAGAACCCACAUUAAUUCCCCAAAGGAAAGAAAAUAAGAUAUUGUCUGGAAAGACCUAAGAGUGUCACUUCACUAUUCCCCCUCAGAGCACCCUGGCAAUAAGGUUGCCAUGCUAAAAUGUUGCAUGUGCUGCCCUCCCUGACGCAUCCUCUAGAGCCUGUUUCGACACAUCCCACAUAGAUUCUCUUUGCCAUACUUCCUUUGAGUUAUUUUUCUUUCUGGACCUCUGUGCUCCAGAGAAGCAACAUUCUGGGAAGUGAAGUGAUUUAGACCUACCUGAUGGCUUUGCUCCCUUUUAUUCCCGAUUAGGAGUCCUGGGCCUGAGCCCAACCCUCUCACUGGUCAGUUUUCUGCUUUGCCCAGUCAAUGAACAGAGGAAGAUAGCCAAAGUAAUUCUCAAAGUGGAAAACUCAAGGAAAAGAUGUGAUGGCUUUGAAGAGAGGACCAUGUGAAUAGAGAAUGAAACUGGACCAGGAACUCCAAUGCAAACCUAACAAAUGUAGACUAGAAGAUGAGGUUAGAAGGCUGGCCAAAGGGAAGCCGAACUACUACAUCAAUAGUUAUUUUACUUCACUGAAACACAAUGAAUACUCUUUGUUGGUUUCUAUAUGUUUCUAGAGUCUUAGUUUUUUUUAAUUAUUAUUUAUGUGUAUGUGUGUCUAACUGUAUGUGUAUGCACACAUGCAUGCAUGUACCAUCAGACACCAGAAGAGGGCACCAGAGCCCCCUGGAGUGUAGAGUUACAGAUGGUUGUGAGCCACUCAGCAUGAAUGCUGGGAAACAAAUCCUUUGAAAGAGAAGCAAGUGCUCUUUAACUUUCUCUCUCUAGCCCCAAAGAAGGCUUUUAAAAAGAGCAGGGUUGAAACAUGAAAACUGUGAUUAGGAGUUCAGGCUUUGUAGGAGGAAGACCAGAUAAAGAUGCAUGGCUCUGCGUCUCACUAGCAAGGUGACCUCAAACCCAUUGCUAGGCUGUGGGCCCCGAUCUGUGAAAUGACAAUAACCACAUCUACAGCACAGAAGUGUGUCCAUGUGUCAGUGGCCAUUAAUACUACUCCUGCUAUGUGCUAGAUAUUGAUAAUUAAUAUGGACUAUGCCCAAGGUCACACAUGGCAACCUACUGAUCAAAACCCAUUAUGGCUUGGCACUCUGUAAGCAUGCUCCUUACAAUGUCAGGACCAUAAACCACUCAGCCCCCGUAUCUGGCAAAUGACUACAGGUUAAUGUAAAAGGUCAAAAAUCUUUUGUCUUAUUUUAUUUUACAUUUUUCUCUCACAUAGGGUAAAAGAGAGAAAAAAAAUCUUAACACUGAUUAGGAGGUUAAGAAAAAAAAGUUCUAGAAACCAGAAAAAGAAAAUUUUUUUCUCUGAAGAUGUGAAUGCCUGUCACAAACUUUCUUGGCUUGGCAUAUCAUGAGUCACUUCUUUUGUUCUCUGAAACUGACCAGAACUUUAACUAAAUUUUGGUGUCAAGUCAAAGCCUACCCUUACCCUUCUCGUAUUGUAAACAAGUCCACUGAAGAUCCAGGUUAAAGUAUUUUCUCUUUUCAGCUUGAUGAAUUACUAACAAGAACGGCACAUGAGAUAAUGUCUCUUGGUAUCUGGAUAAUACACUGCCUCUCAAACCUACGACAGAAA